AUGCCUCCGGCGCUGUUACUUUGAAGAAAUUAGAGUGCUCAAAGAAAGCCUACGCUCUGUAUAUAUUAGUAUGGGAUAACAUUAUAGGAUUUCGGUCCUAUUACAUUGGCCUUUGGGAUCGGAGUAAUGAUUAACAGGGACAGUCGGGGGCAUUUGUAUUUCAUAGUCAGAGGUGAAAUUCUUGUAUUCAUGAAAGACGAAUAACUGCGAGGGUGGCCCAGUCUUCUGGAAGGGAGCGCCAGAGAGGGUUAGAGCCCCGUUGUGCCCAAACCCAAUCGCACCACGAGUCCCUGUCUAUGAGUCAGGUUGUUUGGGAAUGCAGUCCAAAUCAGGCGGUGAAUUCCAUCCAAGGCUAAAUACAAGCGAAAUACCGAUACCAAAAAAGUACCGCGAAGGAAAGAUGAAAAGAACUUAGAAAAGAGAGUCAAAGAGUGCUUGAAA
rnacentral:ncRNA from 1 species